UCAUUUUUUAGUACAUAGCGUUCACACUUGUUGGCUUAGUUUGUAAUGUUCGUAGGCCUAAUACAUUUGCUCUCUACUCUCUUUCUCUACUCUUUCUCUCUACUCUCAACGGGGUUGAGACUACUGUUCACAUUUGUAUCCGUCUUCGAAUCAAAGAAAUAAACCCUAGAAAUGGCCUUUUCAUAUUCUCCACUUUCUUACUCANN
rnacentral:lncRNA from 1 species